rnacentral:ncRNA from 1 species
UCCCGGUGCCGUGGUGAUUUGCCGCCGAUUGCCGCCACGCAAAACAAGGAGCUAAACAGCGAGUGCGCCCGGCGGC